rnacentral:rRNA from 1 species
AGCAUGAUGCGAGCUGACGCAGCGACGCCGCGUGGGGGAGAGGCCUUCGGGUUGUAACCCCUGUUCUGCGGGGACGAAUGGAGAGAGGACCCUGCAAAAAAACCCCGGGUAAAUCUGUGCCACCACCCGCGGGAAUAUACG